rnacentral:lncRNA from 1 species
AUGCAUACUUGUCUAUUCCUGGGUUUUUUAGUUCACGUCUUCAUAAGGAGUCGACGAUCAUUGUCCAUGUGGGUGUAAAUGGAUGUGAAUCCGUGGUUUGAGAGGGACCUUGUGGAUCAAAUACUUGAUGGAUUGUUUUGUGUGAAUUUAUUGACCGUAAUUUCUCUGUUUAAAGAUUAUGGCAAUUUAUUCAAUGGCCAAGAAAACAAAAAAAGGGACGAUGCAGCACAGGUGUCUGAGUCCGAAACAAUGAUCUCAAUAUCCCAAACGAAAUAUGGCUGUUGUACUUUCUGGUGAUCCUCUAUUCUUUUCUAAAGAUUCUGGUUUAGGGAAAUCAUUCAUGCAGAGACGAGACUAUGUGAAUUAAAUUGUUACAAAGAUGGUAACAAAAAUUAUGUGACUAAACUGGUUCGAAACUAUCGGUCCCACAAACAUAUAUUGUCACAAGUGUAGUUUUUAUUAUCUUUUCAAUAAAUUAGAAUCCAAUAAAUACGGAUGUUGUCGUGAUUUCUUUGUUUAAAGAUUUGUACUAGAACUUCAGUCUAUAUGACAGGUGUAGUUUCUAUUUUCUUAUCAAUGA